CAGUGAGGAAUAUUGGUCAAUGGGCGCAAGCCUGAACCAGCCAUGCCGCGUGCAGGAUGACGGUCCUAUGGAUUGUAAACUGCUUUUGUACAGGAAGAAACCUCUCUACGUGUAGAGACUUGACGGUACUGUAAGAAUAAGGAUCGGCUAACUCCGUGCCAGCAGCCGCGGUAAUACGGAGGAUCCAAGCGUUAUCCGGAAUCAUUGGGUUUAAAGGGUCCGUAGGCGGUUUUGUAAGUCAGUGGUGAAAGCCCAUCGCUCAACGGUGGAACGGCCAUUGAUACUGCAAGACUUGAAUUGUUGGGAAGUAACUAGAAUAUGUAGUGUAGCGGUGAAAUGCUUAGAUAUUACAUGGAAUACCAAUUGCGAAGGCAGGUUACUAUCAACACAUUGACGCUGAUGGACGAAAGCGUGGGGAGCGAACAGGAUUAGA
rnacentral:rRNA from 1 species